rnacentral:lncRNA from 10 species
CAAUCAGUUGCAAGGGUGAUUUACUAUUUCUGCAAAAUGCUCUAACUGCAUUAAUCUUUGCUCGGAACUGAGUCACUGCAGAAAAUGACACAAGCUAUAAGUAGCUUCAGUCACACACGCUGGAAUAGAGUUCUGUCAGACCACUUCCAGAGGCUACGAUGAAUCAUCUUGCUACUUAUUUUGAGCAGCCCACAAAAACAAAAGGAAAGUUACUUCACCCCUGAGGGCUCGAUUCAGAAUAGAGAUUGAGAAUCACGGAUCUCCCUGAACCAUCCAACUUUCAAAGAUGAAUAAACUGAGGACCCAGAGGUGAAGUGAUUUUUCCACAGUCCCACCAACAGAUAUGGCCAAACCAGGGAUCCUUUUGCAUUGUGAUUGUGAAGACAGAAGAAGUCAACCUGAAAACAAACCACAGUUUGGAAUCAAGCCAAGAAGCAGAUUCACUUAUCACUGGUGUUGAGAACCUGAUAUUCUAUAACUUGACCUAUAAGAUUCUUUACAAUUUCUAGGUAAUAUAUAUUUUUUUCUAUUUCAGCUUAGUUAAGACUAUUUUCUAUUAAACAUCAUUAUUUAAUCAACUAGUAUCUGUUGGGAACUUACUAUAGAGUAGGGACUAUUUUAGGAGACACAGCAGUGCAAGCAGUUUGCUAAAGCUCUGCUUUGCUUGAGCUUUGUAGUUAUAUAAGAGAGGAGACAGACAAUACAAAACUUAGAAUAUGUGAUGUAUGACACAUGAUAUUUAAAAGAAAAGGAAAACAGUUCUAGUAUACGUGUGCUUGGGAGUGGAGGUGGGGAAAUAGAGUGUGCCUUACUGAGACAGAGACAAUAUGAAAUUAAAUACCUGCAAAUUUAAGAAAGAUAAUUCCAAGUAGAGAGAAUAACAAACGCAAAGACCUGAAGGUGAAAGCAUAGCUCGCUUGUUUGUGGAAUCAAAAGGAAUGUCAGAAAGCCCUCAAAGCUGGACCAGGGUGAGCAAGGAAGAGAAACAUAAAAGAUGAUGAGUCAGAAGACAUAAAGGAGAGCAUAGUCAGAGGUUAACGUGUGUAACAACCAUUUCCAACUCUGCAGGAAAAUUAUGCCAUAUAAAAACUAUUUGAG